AACGAACGCUGGCGGCAGGCUUAACACAUGCAAGUCGAGCGCCCCGCAAGGGGAGCGGCAGACGGGUGAGUAACACGUGGGAACGUACCUUUUGCUACGGAAUAGCUCCGGGAAACUGGAAUGAAUACCGUAUGUGCCCGUCGGGGGAAAGAUUUAUCGGCAAAAGAUCGGCCCGCGUCUGAUGAGCUAGUUGGUGGGGUAAUGGCCUACCAAGGCGACGAUCAGUAGCUGGUCUGAGAGGAUGAUCAGCCACACUGGGACUGAGACACGGCCCAGACUCCUACGGGAGGCAGCAGUGGGGAAUAUUGGACAAUGGGCGCAAGCCUGAUCCAGCCAUGCCGCGUGAGUGAUGAAGGCCUUAGGGUUGUAAAGCUCUUUCGCUAGGGAAGAUAAUUACGGUACCUAGAGAAGAAGCCCCGGCUAACUUCGUGCCAGCCGCCGCAGUAA
rnacentral:rRNA from 1 species